rnacentral:lncRNA from 1 species
AAAUAAGUAACAUCUGUGCAUCACACACACACACACACGCACACGCACACAGCCUCUGAGGGCCCUCUCCCUUUUCCUACCACAAGGAAUGGAGGAGCCUGCCCUACUGCAAGCUGGAAUAUAUCAUGCAAUGAAGAUGGGAGGCCAAGCAAAUUUUUCUGGAAAGUGAAGUGGCAAGUUCCUGGUAUGUGGAAGUGCUGUCCGUCAAGUUGAGCAACCCCCUGACCCCUCAGAAUGGAGCACCUCACCCCCAUGUUACAGAAGAGGAUAUUCUAUAUCAUGGUAGAACUCAGUGGGCUCUGGGUUGCAACAUAGACUUGGAAGCUUCCAGCAGCUUCAAAGUCCAAGUAAUCUAAAUUCAGCCUUCAUCUAAUAAAGGCCACCUUUGUGGGCCAGCAUCUCCUGUUAGCUGAUCAGCAACUCAGACUUUCUUCCCUAUUAAGCUGCAUGUGAAGCAGUAUUUCAAGAGGUUUCUUGGGAUUGCCUGUGUCCCACGUCCUCAGAAGUUCAUCUGCAGCUUCACGCAGCUGACACUCUCAGAUUCCGGAGUAAACCUGAAAAAACCAUGUUCACUGCUACAGAUGUCUGUCUUCACCCCAUCCAUGUAAUGUGCCAGGUCUUAACUACCACCCCCUUACCUUGAAUGCCUGAGAAGCACGUUUCUAAGCUGAGUUGGUUGGUGGUUUUGUCUAUUUGUAAUGAACGCAUGAGAACUACCACUACUUGGUAUGUGCCUACAGUUGAGCCAGGGCCAAGGCCUGCAGCCACUUGAGUCUCAUUCACCUCAGCUGCGGCUCCAGGAACUAUGCGUCAGCAGCAUUAAGUGCAGGCUGAAGGCCCCCAUCUGAGAAGACAGUGCACUCUCCCUGAGUUCACCUCUCAUCAGGCUUGGGUUUUCAUGAAAUCAGUCCUCCGAGAUGCCUGUUCACUCAUCCCUGUCUGGGAAGGCAAAAAUCCUAAUGGCCAUGUCGACAUACCCAGCUGUGACAAGAUGAAGGACCACGAUUUGGGACUCUUCAGGGACAGACUUGGCCACCUGGUGAUGUGCCACCUUCAGCAGCUCUGUCUUCACACGUCCAGCCUGCGCCUGCUUCAUGUAGUACACAAGACUGCUCUGGUACACCACGACCAUGACCUUCACAUGAGGCCAGUCUCCCCGCCCCUCACCUGGGCCAUAGAAAAAGGAUGCUGCUGUGAAGAUGUAAUGGGUGGAGCCUCAGCAGCCAUCUUGUGACUAUGAGACCAUAAGCAGGAAGACCCAAGGCAACCACAGGGAAUGGUGGAACAAAGGAAUGGACAGAGCCCAGGGCUUUGAGAGCGCAUUCACUCACUGCCCCACGCCUAAAGUCACCAGCUCUCAGACCUCCUGUCUUGUGAUGAGAUGCCUUUAUCGCUAAAAC